GGUAUCGCUAUGGCCGGGGUGGCUUCUGGGCUCUGUGGUAGCCAGAAAACGUCUGCAGAGUCCGUUCCAAGGUGUCUGCAGAGCCGCAGAAGUCGUUCCAAGGUGUCUAUGAGGGAAAAAGGUGACAGGGAGAUGACAAGAAGUCUUGCUUGCUCCUGAUGCUUUGGUCUGCUGCUGCAGAGAUGCUGUAUGCUUCCCCUGCUGCAGUGGUCAUGAAGUUUGUGUAUAAAUGGGACUGCUUCAUAUGCAGCAAGGGGUUUGCCUGGGUAUGUAUCGUCUGUUUUGGUAAGGGAAAAGAUUUGCCUGCUUACGGGAUCUAGGAACUCAAAUAUCUGUGGGAUUUCCUAAGUCCUUGCUAAAGAUCGUCGGUGCGAUACCACAGUGGUCAGGAUAUCAGCUGCCUCCAAAGUCUGUAAAGGGGAAAAUUGGGCAUUCUCCAAAAACUGCUGUUGGUAGGAUUGAUUCCUUGAUGAUAAAUGUGGAUAUUUGCUGAAUUUUCAGAAAGAAAUAAGAACCUGCCAUUGUGCCAUCAGGCUGGAUGUCAGUAUCUUACACAGGGAAAUGGAAUAAUGCAUCUUACUGUUGGAAGGAAGAAUCUGAAAUCGUAUUUGAGGAGGCAGUCAUCAUGCAUGCAGACACCAUUUACAACACACGAGGAGCAGACUCCACCUCUAACUUUGGAGUCUGCUUGAGUAAAAUCAUUUCUCCUCCCAUUCUGCCAAUCAUCAGCAAUUGUUUAACACUUCUGUAGUACUUCUUAAAUAAAGAAAGCCACAGCUAGUAACAGCAAAUUAAAAAGAUGUCAUCAACUGAAGUAAAAUUCUCCCUGAAUUACUGAA